ensembl:misc_RNA Metazoa_SRP Metazoan signal recognition particle RNA
GCUGGGCAUGGUGGUGCGUGCCUGUAAUCCCAGCUACUUAGGAGGCUAACGCAGAAGAAUCACUUGAGCCCAGGAGGCGGGGGUUGCAGUGAGCCGAGAUCACGCCAUUGCACUCCAGCCUGGGCUACAGAGUGAGACUCUGUCUCAA